rnacentral:tRNA from 1 species
GGGGUUGGGGCUUAGCGGUAGAGCGUUCACCUCCCAUGUGGGAGGCCCUGGGUUGGAUCCUCAGCACCACA